UAUAAAAGCUGAAAUAAGACAAACUAAAGCAAGUUAGUUUCAAGUUUGAAAUUAAAAAUGAAGUUUAUUUUUACUACUCUAUUGCUUGGUGUUUGCGUCCUAGGCAAAGAUGCGGAAAAUCUAGUUUCUAAAGAGGGAAUUGAGCAGAGGUCCGCCAACCUACCGUGGCAAGCUCAACAAUUGGCAAGACUAAAAGUCUUACUUCAAAAAAACCUUGACUUAACUGAGGAGAAGAUAGCGGAUGUUAUGGAACAGGCAAUGCAACCCAAAGAUGCGUCCCAGAAACCACAAGAACCCGAUCGUCCGAUUUCAUUGGUGGAUCUUAACUUUAAAGAAAUACUAGUACUUAAUAGAAACUUUAGUUCUAAAAACACUUGUAAGAUAACGAUACCUAUUGACUCGAUUACCUAUAAGUUUGAUCAAUGUGGACAUUAUAAAAAGUGAGCCGAGAAGACUAAUUAAUUGAGUAAAAAAAAAUAAAACAUUGCUCUUAUUAACUA